CACUAUACCGUGAAACUGCGAAUGGCUCAUUAAAUCAGUUAUCGUUUAUUUGAUAGUACCUUUACUACAUGGACAACUGUGGUAAUUCUAGAGCUAAUACAUGCUAAAAACCUCGACUUCGGAAGGGGUGUAUUUAUUAGAUAAAAAACCAAUGCCCUUCGGGGCUCCUUGGUGAUUCAUAAUAACUAAACGAAUCGCAUGGCCUUGCGCCGGCGAUGGUUCAUUCAAAUUUCUGCCCUAUCAACUUUCGAUGGUAGGAUAGUGGCCUACCAUGGUUUCAACGGGUAACGGGGAAUUAGGGUUCUAUUCCGGAGAGGGAGCCUGAGAAACGGCUACCACAUCCAAGGAAGGCAGCAGGCGCGCAAAUUAUCCAAUCCCAAUACGGGGAGAUAGUGACAAUAAAUACUGAUACAGGGCUCUUUUGGGUCUUGUAAUUGGAAUGAGUACAAUUUAAAUCCCUUAACGAGGAACAAUUGGAGGGCAAGUCUGGUGGACCUCAGUCCCGCUGCUGACGCCAGAGAUAGUAGGGCCCCGCGAGGGGUUAUGCCUGCUAGUCGAGCAUCCGUUGGUGACGGGUGGAUGCCGGCGAGGUAACCUGGAACGGGGAAGCCUACGGGGGUUUACACCCCUAUGGUAAUCCCGUGGCGAGCCCUGGAGACAGGGCCGUCGUAACGCGCGCCAAGGUACCGGUCGUUGUUCGCAACGGCUCAAGGGACGUGCUGUACCCAUCCGAAAGGAUGAUCCUGCCUGGAGCACCCGUCGUGCGAAGGGUAUUGAUGGGCGGGUUCGCACCUGCCCGGUGUUCAAAUCAAACUAUGAAAAAAAACUACACAAAUCGGAAGGAGAACCUAUGCGGAAUCGACAGAGAGAUGAGAUGGGCCCUGUGCCCCCAGAUAUGUGUAUAGUUUAUAGCACUUAAGAACAUUUUCUAGGCCAGCAGCCGCGGUAAUUCCAGCUCCAAUAGCGUAUAUUAAAGUUGUUGCAGUUAAAAAGCUCGUAGUUGAACCUUGGGUCUGGCCGAUCGGUCCGCCUCACCGCGUGCACUGGCUCGGCCGGAUCUUUCUUUCUGGGGAACCCUAUGGCCUUCACUGGUCGUAGCGGGGAACCAGGACUUUUACUUUGAAAAAAUUAGAGUGUUCAAAGCAGGCCUUCGCUCGAAUACAUUAGCAUGGAAUAAUAGAAUAAGACGUGUGGUUUUAUUUUGUUGGUUUCUAAGACCGCCGUAAUGAUUAAUAGGGACAGUCGGGGGCGUCUGUAUUCCGUUGUCAGAGGUGAAAUUCUUGGAUUUACGGAAGACAAACUACUGCGAAAGCAUUCGCCAAGGAUGUUUUCAUUAAUCAGUGAACGAAAGUUAGGGGAUCGAAGACGAUCAGAUACCGUCGUAGUCUUAACCAUAAACUAUGCCGACUAGGGAUCGGACGGUGUUUUUAUUUUGACCCGUUCGGCACCUUACGAGAAAUCAAAGUGUUUGGGCUCUGGGGGGAAUAUGGUCGCAAGGCUGAAACUUAAAGAAAUUGACGGAAGGGCACCACAAGGCGUAAACCGCAGCAACUCUGCGCCGAACAGCAGCCCGAAAGGGUGAGUGGUGGUCCCUGGGCUCAGGCCCGAAGGUAAAUGCUAGUCCCCCCACUCGGGGGGGCGACACGCUCAAAUUGCGGGAAACUCCUAAAGCUCCAGCUACCAAGCCGGCGUCGAAAGGCGCCGGUGGCCAGGUUAACAGCCUCGGGUACGGUUACAAUGCUGGAGAUGCUACAGUGGACAAUCCGCAGCCAAGCGCCUAACUCUCGUCGCCUCCGGGCGUGCAGACACGGUGAAGGUUCAGAGACUAGAUGGGUGUGGGUCGGAUUGCCCAGCGGGCGAUCCGGUCUAAGAUAUAGUCCGGCCGUCGCGGAAACGCGAUGGGAGUGUAGGCCUCUACGCAACGGGAGCCUGCGGCUUAAUUUGACUCAACACGGGGAAACUCACCAGGUCCAGACAUGCUUAGGAUUGACAGAUUGAGAGCUCUUUCUUGAUUGUAUGGGUGGUGGUGCAUGGCCGUUCUUAGUUGGUGGAGUGAUUUGUCUGCUUAAUUGCGUUAACGAACGAGACCUUAACUUACUAAAUAGCCCGUCUGGCGUUUGCCGGUCGCUGGCUUCUUAGAAGGACUAUCGGCUCAAGCCGAUGGAAGUUUGAGGCAAUAACAGGUCUGUGAUGCCCUUAGAUGUCCUGGGCCGCACGCGCGCUACACUGACAGAGCCAACGAGUACAUCACCUUAGCCGAGAGGUUUGGGUAAUCUUGUUAAACUCUGUCGUGCUGGGGAUAGAGCAUUGCAAUUAUUGCUCUUCAACGAGGAAUGCCUAGUAAGCGCGAGUCAUCAGCUCGUGCUGAUUACGUCCCUGCCCUUUGUACACACCGCCCGUCGCUACUACCGAUUGAAUGGCUCAGUGAGGCCUCCGGACUGGCUCAGGGAGGUCGGCAACGACCACCCAGAGCCGGAAAGCUGGUCAAACUGUGUCA
rnacentral:rRNA from 1 species